CCUUUACAAUGUGCGAAAGCAUGAUAAGGGAACUCCGAGUGCCAGUAUCUAAUACUGGCUGUCCUUGUGCCUAAAACGCACAAGAUAGCAAGGGCCGGGUAAGACCGGUGCCAGCCGCCGCGGUAACACCGGCGGCCCGAGUGGUAGCCGCUAUUAUUGGGUCUAAAGGGUCUGUAGCCGGUUCGAUAAGUCCUCUGGGAAAUCUGGUUGCUUAACAAUCAGACUGCCAAGGGAUACUGUCGAACUUGAGACCGGGAGAGGUAAGAGGUACUUCAGGGGUAGGAGUGAAAUCUUGUAAUCCCUGGGGGACCAUCUGUGGCGAAGGCGUCUUACCAGAACGG
rnacentral:rRNA from 1 species